rnacentral:lncRNA from 1 species
AUCACCCCAAAACUACUUCACUCCUAUUUUGAUCACUGAUAAAGACAUUGAACUGCGUUAGCUCCUUUGAAGCCAUUAAAUAACCCAUUAGAAGAGAGUAGAAACAUGUUGGUGUAGCUGCUAAUUGGUUCGCAGAGCAUUUGAUACAGACGUUGCUUUUGUUCCUUCUCUGUCACUUCAGUGGGGCUGUGACACACCACGAAGAGUACC